ensembl:lncRNA
AUGGAAAAAAAAAGUGUGAUCCAAUGUGCAGAAGCAAGAGGUCUAUAUAAAAAACGUAAACGUAAAGUAAAAAAAAAGUCAAAGAUCUCAAAAACAUCAAGACAAAAAGAUCUCCAGAUGAUGCCUCACACUCUUCUUCUUCUUCUUUACAGAAGGUUUCUGGUUGUUUUCUACAGUAGGAACGUCCAUAACAGACGCAUCAACAUCUUUCUUCUUCUUCUUCUUCUUUACAGAAGGUUUCUGGUUGUUUUCUACAGUAGGAACGUCCGUAACAGAUUCAUCAACAUCUUUCUUCUUCUUCUUCUUCUUUACAGAAGGUUUCUGGUUGUUUUCUACAGUAGGAACGUCCGUAACAGAUUCAUCAACGUCUUUCUUCUUCUUCUUCUUCUUUACAGAAGGUUUCUGGUUGUUUUCUACAGUAGGAACGUCCGUAACAGAUGCAUCAACGUCUUUCUUCUUCUUCUUUACAGAAGGUUUCUGGUUGUUUUCUACAGUAGGAACGUCCGUAACAGAUGCAUCAACGUCUUUCUUCUUCUUCUUCUUCUUUACAGAAGGUUUCUGUGUGUUUUCUACAGUAGGAACGUCCGUAACAGAUGCAUCAACGUCUUUCUUCUUCUUUACAGAAGGUUUCUGUGUGUUUUCUACAGUAGGAACGUCCGUAACAGAUGCAUCAACGUCUUUCUUCUUCUUCACAGAAGGUUUCUGGUUGUUUUCUACAGUAGGAACGUCCGUAACAGAUGCAUCAACGUCUUUCUUCUUCUUCUUCGUUUUUACAGAAGGUUUCUGUGUGUUUUCUACAGUAGGGACAUUCGUAACAGAUGCAUCAACGUCUUUCUUCUUCUUCUUCACAGAAGGUUUCUGUGUGUUUUCUACAGUAGGAACGUCCGUAACAGAUGCAUCAACGUCUUUCUUCUUCUUCACAGAAGGUUUCUGGUUGUUUUCUACAGUAGGAACGUCCGUAACAGAUGCAUCAACGUCUUUCUUCUUCUUCUUCGUUUUUACAGAAGGUUUCUGUGUGUUUUCUACAGUAGGGACAUUCGUAACAGAUGCAUCAACGUCUUUCUUCUUCUUCUUUACAGAAGGUUUCUGUGUGUUUUCUACAGUAGGAACGUCCAUAACAGACGCAUCAAGAUCUUUCUUCUUCUUCUUUCUUAG